rnacentral:rRNA from 1 species
GACGAACGCUGGCGGCGUGCCUAAUACAUGCAAGUUGAGCGAUGAAGAUUGGUGCCUGCACCAAUUUGAAGAGCAGCGAACGGGUGAGUAACGCGUGGGGAAUCUGCCUUUGAGCGGGGGACAACAUUUGGAAACGAAUGCUAAUACCGCAUAACAACUUUAAACAUAAGUUUUAAGUUUGAAAGAUGCAAUUGCAUCACUCAAAGAUGAUCCCGCGUUGUAUUAGCUAGUUGGUGAGGUAAAGGCUCACCAAGGCGAUGAUACAUAGCCGACCUGAGAGGGUGAUCGGCCACAUUGGGACUGAGACACGGCCCAAACUCCUACGGGAGGCAGCAGUAGGGAAGCUUCGGCAAUGGACGAAAGUCUGACCGAGCAACGCCGCGUGAGUGAAGAAGGUUUUCGGAUCGUAAAACUCUGUUGGUAGAGAAGAACGUUGGUGAGAGUGGAAAGCUCAUCAAGUGACGGUAACUACCCAGAAAGGGACGGCUAACUACGUG